AAACAUGGAACAUGUCAGAGACGUGGCAUCGCGCGUAGCAAGAGCAAAUUGACAACCAUUUCGUUGAAAUCAUAAAGAAGUUCACCAUUUCGUUCACAUUAUACCGACGCACAUUCCAGUUCGGCAACCCAAAAUCAUUAGGUUUCGUUAAAAAAAAAUCCGGUGACAACUUAUUUCGUUGGUUAAUUUCAAACGACAGUUUUGGAUGUUUAGCAGAACAAAAACCGGAUUCACCAAAUUUUCAGUAAUUUGGUCGAAAUGGAAUCGUGAACCCAGUUAUUAGACACAACGUACCAGUAACUUCGUCGAGAUCCUUGGGAUUCUCCCAUUUCUGACCCUCGACCAGGACCUUCUUGAAGAUGCCGCCGUCCUUGCAGAUGUCCUUGACGCUGGCCCACGAGAGGAGCUCGACGUCGAACUGGAGCGUGGCGUUGGGCGGGAUCGUGGGCGGGGAGCCCGCCUCGCCGUACGCGAGGUCCGGCGGGAUGGUGAGGACGGCGUUCUCGCCCUUCUUCAUGGUCUUGAUGCCCUGGUCCCAUCCCUUGAUCACCUGCCCCUGCCCGAGCUUGAACUUGAAGGGAGUCCCGCGGUCUCGGCUCGAAUCGAACUUGGUCCCGUCGAGGAGAGUGCCCGUGUAGUGC
rnacentral:lncRNA from 1 species